GACGAACGCUGGCGGCGUGCUUAACACAUGCAAGUCGAACGGAAAGGCCCUGCUUUUGUGGGGUGCUCGAGUGGCGAACGGGUGAGUAACACGUGAGUAACCUGCCCUUGACUUUGGGAUAACUUCAGGAAACUGGGGCUAAUACCGGAUAGGAGCUCCUGCUGCAUGGUGGGGGUUGGAAAGUUUCGGCGGUUGGGGAUGGACUCGCGGCUUAUCAGCUUGUUGGUGGGGUAGUGGCUUACCAAGGCUUGACGGGUAGCCGGCCUGAGAGGGUGACCGGCCACAUUGGGACUGAGAUACGGCCCAGACUCCUACGGGAGGCAGCAGUGGGGAAUAUUGCACAAUGGGCGGAAGCCUGAUGCAGCAACGCCGCGUGCGGGAUGACGGCCUUCGGGUGGUAAACCGCUUUCGCCUGUGACGAAGCGUGAGUGACGGUAAUGGGUAAAGAAGCACCGGCUAACUACGUG
rnacentral:rRNA from 1 species